UUUUCUUUAGUAUAAAAAAGUAUAUUUAACUUCCAAUUAAAAGGUUUAAUUAAAAGAAAAA
rnacentral:tRNA from 1 species